rnacentral:lncRNA from 1 species
CUUUAGGUUCAAGAUAUUGAUUACUGUUAGUUUGAUAAAAUCUGAAGAACUUAUAUGACUUUCUUCUUUUCAGACAUCAAUUUUCACCCCAGCCUUUGGAUCAGAAACUAAGGUCAGAAUAAAUAGUAACAUGAAAACUGAAGAAGUAAUAAAACAACUUCUCCAAAAAUUUAAGGUAAUCUUUUUUUUACUAAACUGUGCUGUAAAAAUCUUGAAAUAUUUUAACUGUAGAGACAUAAAUGAACUCUUCUGAAAAAAAAUGAAGACUUAAAUUUAAGUUAUAUGUACAGUUCAGAAGGACUCUUUCCUCCAGAAAAUUUGUGUUUGGUUGACUUAGAAAACAUCAAAUAAAAACAAAUAAUUAUGUUUGUUAUUUUUUUCCAUUGAUAGAUUGAGAACAGUCCUCAGGAUUUUGCUCUUUACAUUAUUUUUGCAUCAGGAGAGCAGAGACGCCUAAAGAAGACAGAUGUUCCACUCCUGCAGAGGCUUCUACAAGGACCUUCCAAAAAUAAUGCCCGCCUUUUCCUCAUGGAUAAAGAUGCAGAAGAAAUUAGCAGAGAUGUGGCUCAAUACAUUAACUUUCAUUUUACUUUCUUGGAAUCCAUUCUUCAAAAGUUAAAUGAAGAAGAGAAAAGAGAUAUUCAAAGAACAAUAACAAAACAGCUGUAUCACAGAGACUUAAUGCAUGGACUAGUUAAGACAAGUCUUGGCCACACAUACCUAUUUGUUAGUGAAUAAUUACAGUGGAUAAACCUGAGUGCCAUAGCUGAACCAGGCAGGGUGUCAGGACCUCUUCCCUUGGAGCAUCCUUGUCAUUCUACAAGAUGCUCUCCAGGUAUUUGCAGGCCUGCUCAACUCAUUUGAAAAAAAUACUGAGUGACUUCAUUUAUUAACUCUGUAUUAAUUUGGUUUUAUAGAACAGCCUUCCAUUCCCUAAACUGCAUUCUCUAAAUUGUAUUCCUCAGCAGCAUUAUACUAAAUUGUUUGGUUGUAUUACCUAUACUAAGGAAUAAGGAUGUAUAUAAUAAACCCAGUUAGAAGAUUAAUUAUUAACA